rnacentral:rRNA from 1 species
GAUGAACGCUGGCGGCGUGCCUAAUACAUGCAAGUCGAACGCUUUGUGGUUCAACUGAUUUGAAGAGCUUGCUCAGAUAUGACGAUGGACAUUGCAAAGAGUGGCGAACGGGUGAGUAACACGUGGGAAACCUACCUCUUAGCAGGGGAUAACAUUUGGAAACAGAUGCUAAUACCGUAUAACAAUGACAACCGCAUGGUUGUUAUUUAAAAGAUGGUUCUGCUAUCACUAAGAGAUGGUCCCGCGGUGCAUUAGCUAGUUGGUAAGGUAAUGGCUUACCAAGGCGAUGAUGCAUAGCCGAGUUGAGAGACUGAUCGGCCACAAUGGGACUGAGACACGGCCCAUACUCCUACGGGAGGCAGCAGUAGGGAAUCUUCCACAAUGGGCGAAAGCCUGAUGGAGCAACGCCGCGUGUGUGAUGAAGGGUUUCGGCUCGUAAAACACUGUUGUAAGAGAAGAAUGACAUUGAGAGUAACUGUUCAAUGUGUGACGGUAUCUUACCAGAAAGGAACGGCUAAAUACGUGCCAGCAGCCGCGGUAAUACGUAUGUUCCAAGCGUUAUCCGGAUUUAUUGGGCGUAAAGCGAGCGCAGACGGUUAUUUAAGUCUGAAGUGAAAGCCCUCAGCUCAACUGAGGAAUUGCUUUGGAAACUGGAUGACUUGAGCGCAGUAGAGGAAAGUGGAACUCCAUGUGUAGCGGUGAAAUGCGUAGAUAUAUGGAAGAACACCAGUGGCGAAGGCGGCUUUCUGGACUGUAACUGACGUUGAGGCUCGAAAGUGUGGGUAGCAAACAGGAUUAGAUACCCUGGUAGUCCACACCGUAAACGAUGAGUGCUAGGUGUUUGAGGGUUUCCGCCCUUAAGUGCCGCAGCUAACGCAUUAAGCACUCCGCCUGGGGAGUACGACCGCAAGGUUGAAACUCAAAGGAAUUGACGGGGACCCGCACAAGCGGUGGAGCAUGUGGUUUAAUUCGAAGCAACGCGAAGAACCUUACCAGGUCUUGACAUCCCUUGACAACUCCAGAGAUGGAGUGUUCCCUUCGGGGACAAGGUGACAGGUGGUGCAUGGUUGUCGUCAGCUCGUGUCGUGAGAUGUUGGGUUAAGUCCCGCAACGAGCGCAACCCUUAUUACUAGUUGCCAGCAUUCAGUUGGGCACUCUAGUGAGACUGCCGGUGACAAACCGGAGGAAGGUGGGGAUGACGUCAAAUCAUCAUGCCCCUUAUGACCUGGGCUACACACGUGCUACAAUGGCGUAUACAACGAGUUGCCAACCCGCGAGGGUGAGCUAAUCUCUUAAAGUACGUCUCAGUUCGGAUUGUAGGCUGCAACUCGCCUACAUGAAGUCGGAAUCGCUAGUAAUCGCGGAUCAGCACGCCGCGGUGAAUACGUUCCCGGGUCU